AAUAAUUUAAACUAGAGUGAAUAUUUUUAAGUUAAGAGUUUUAGUUUUUCUAUGAAUCAAUGCGAGGAUAACAUAAUAGACACAGAUAAAUAUAAAAUUUCAAGAAAAUCGGCAAAUUAGUAGAGGUAAAUCCUGUUUAUAUUGGAUAUCUUUUAUUGAUAUUUACCUAUAUUGCAUAUGAGAAAGCAGUCACUAAUGAACAUUAUUAGAAGUUCUAAAUAUAUUUUAUUGUAAUUAUAAUAGAAGCUAAUGAUAUAAUAUUGAUUUAAAUUAAUCAAAUAAAGUGGAUUUACUUAUACUUCUUGAACUUUGGAAAUAUAUUAAAUCUAGUGAGCAAUACUAAGUAAUGAAAAAGAGAAGCUAAUAAGACAACUAAAAAUAUAAAAAAAACACAAAUGGACAAGUUUUAUUAAAGUCUUAUCUUUUAAUUAAUUUAAGUGUUAUAUUAUGUACCAGAAAAUGAAUUUGAUAAUGGGGAAUGAAGCAUUUUAUGAAUAAUGUAA